ensembl:snRNA U2 U2 spliceosomal RNA
AUCGCUUCUCGGCCUUUUGGCUAAGAUCAAGUGUAGUAUCUGUUCUUAUCAGUAGGAAAGGAAAAAAGUAAAGAGAAAGAGAGACGCAUGGUGGGACUGCAAAAGCGACUGGAAAGGUAUUUUAACCUAUGCCAACAGGGCCUUGAUUUUAACCAAGAAAUUAA